UACCACAUCUUCUUUAUCCAUUCAUCAGUAAUUGGACAUUUGGGCUCUUGCCAUACUUUGGCUAUUGUUGAUAGUGCUGCUAUAAACAUUGGUGUGCGUUUCCCCCUUUGAAUUAGCACUACUGUAUCCUUUGGAUAAAUACCUAGCAGUGCAAUUGCUGGGUCAUAGGGUAGUUCUAUUUUCAGUUUUUUGAGGAACCUCCA